UCCGCUACAUAACUCUGAAUGCGCGAAGCCUGCAAUGAGGGUUGGCAAUGUCAUCUUUGGCGCAUGCGUUAGCGCUGAGGCUCUCUUCGGCUCUCUCUCGGUCUCUGGAGCUCUCUGAUAUUGUCAUCGUGUGUUCGUCGUUUUGAGGUUAAGCGCUGCAAAUGUCAAAGGCAUGACUUCAGUUUCAAUUUCAGUUUCAGUGCGUACUCUGCAUUUGGAGCACUUCACAGCGUACACAAACCCCUAAAACGUACGCAACGAUUUGCAUGACAUGCACAUGACUGAAAUUGGUGCUCUUUGGCGUGGGCUUUGCAAUAGCUGUCGCAACGAAAGCAAGCGAAUAAUCAAGAAAACAUCAAAUGCACAAAUGAACUACUGAACUACUACUAAUGAUAACGCGUCAUAAUAAACAAUAAACCAUAUAUAGUUGCAAAUGUAUAUGAGUCGCUAAUGUUGCACCCACCACCGUUCACCGCACACCGCUAACGCAACCGCUUACCGCUCAUCACCAACACCAACACCACUGUUACCACCACCACAACCACCACCACCAUCACCACCAUCACCAAUACCAACCAACAACUAGCUAGCUAGCAAUAAGAACCACCAAGCAAGCAAGCAAGCACGGCACUCAACUCUGGCUUGAGCCUCGCCUCGCCUCAACUCAACUUGAAGCAGUUGCAACGGAGACAGCGCGUUAUUUGAUGACGCUUCUCAAAAUGUCUUCAACGUUUUCAUUUGCAAAAUCCCAAAGUGCGCAUUUGAUUAAGACCAAAGCGUACGAGCUUUUAGCAGAAGGUAAGUUUCCAAACGACCUGCGACAGCUUUUUCUUGACCUGAAUUGCUUUGGGGUAAGCGCAUUGCGUAAUUUUAAGAUUGGAUUAUAUGAAUGAAGGUAAAAAUAUAAAAGUGC